rnacentral:rRNA from 2 species
UGGCGGCGUGCCUAAUACAUGCAAGUCGAACGAACUCUGGUAUUGAUUGGUGCUUGCAUCAUGAUUUACAUUUGAGUGAGUGGCGAACUGGUGAGUAACACGUGGGAAACCUGCCCAGAAGCGGGGGAUAACACCUGGAAACAGAUGCUAAUACCGCAUAACAACUUGGACCGCAUGGUCCGAGUUUGAAAGAUGGCUUCGGCUAUCACUUUUGGAUGGUCCCGCGGCGUAUUAGCUAGAUGGUGGGGUAACGGCUCACCAUGGCAAUGAUACGUAGCCGACCUGAGAGGGUAAUCGGCCACAUUGGGACUGAGACACGGCCCAAACUCCUACGGGAGGCAGCAGUAGGGAAUCUUCCACAAUGGACGAAAGUCUGAUGGAGCAACGCCGCGUGAGUGAAGAAGGGUUUCGGCUCGUAAAACUCUGUUGUUAAAGAAGAACAUAUCUGAGAGUAACUGUUCAGGUAUUGACGGUAUUUAACCAGAAAGCCACGGCUAACUACGUGCCAGCAGCCGCGGUAAUACGUAGGUGGCAAGCGUUGUCCGGAUUUAUUGGGCGUAAAGCGAGCGCAGGCGGUUUUUUAAGUCUGAUGUGAAAGCCUUCGGCUCAACCGAAGAAGUGCAUCGGAAACUGGGAAACUUGAGUGCAGAAGAGGACAGUGGAACUCCAUGUGUAGCGGUGAAAUGCGUAGAUAUAUGGAAGAACACCAGUGGCGAAGGCGGCUGUCUGGUCUGUAACUGACGCUGAGGCUCGAAAGUAUGGGUAGCAAACAGGAUUAGAUACCCUGGUAGUCCAUACCGUAAACGAUGAAUGCUAAGUGUUGGAGGGUUUCCGCCCUUCAGUGCUGCAGCUAACGCAUUAAGCAUUCCGCCUGGGGAGUACGGCCGCAAGGCUGAAACUCAAAGGAAUUGACGGGGGCCCGCACAAGCGGUGGAGCAUGUGGUUUAAUUCGAAGCUACGCGAAGAACCUUACCAGGUCUUGACAUACUAUGCAAAUCUAAGAGAUUAGACGUUCCCUUCGGGGACAUGGAUACAGGUGGUGCAUGGUUGUCGUCAGCUCGUGUCGUGAGAUGUUGGGUUAAGUCCCGCAACGAGCGCAACCCUUAUUAUCAGUUGCCAGCAUUAAGUUGGGCACUCUGGUGAGACUGCCGGUGACAAACCGGAGGAAGGUGGGGAUGACGUCAAAUCAUCAUGCCCCUUAUGACCUGGGCUACACACGUGCUACAAUGGAUGGUACAACGAGUUGCGAACUCGCGAGAGUAAGCUAAUCUCUUAAAGCCAUUCUCAGUUCGGAUUGUAGGCUGCAACUCGCCUACAUGAAGUCGGAAUCGCUAGUAAUCGCGGAUCAGCAUGCCGCGGUGAAUACGUUCCCGGGCCUUGUACACACCGCCCGUCACACCAUGAGAGUUUGUAACACCCAAAGUCGGUGGGGUAACCUUUUAGGAACCAGCCGCCUAAGGUGGGACAGAUGAUUAGGGUGA